GGGGAUUUAGCUCAGUGGUAGAGCGUUUGCCUAGCAAGCACAAGGCCCUCGGUUUGGUCCCCA
rnacentral:tRNA from 1 species